GAGUCAUAUUCGGGGGUUAUUGAGUUGGAGGGAAGACAGCUCAAACGGCGACUAAGCAGAGAAGCAGAAAUGGCAUCGCUGUGGUUGUGGGGAAGAAGAGAGGUGCAGUGGGAGGAAACAGUGAGAGACAGCUGUGCAUGUAAGAUCAGAACACAAGCGGAUAGCAGGAUGGUCCCGGGCUGGGAGCUGAUCACCCCAGUCGGUGCACCUCUGGAGGUUGUCGUGGACAGCGCCAAAACAACCGAGAGAGAAGGAUCCACCUGAUGACGGGAUCGUCACACAUCUCAAUCACCAAGAUGUUGACAGUAUAAAACAGCUAAAAGGACACCUAGGACAGUUACGCAAGUAUAGUUACCUAUUUUCACAGGAAAGCCAUCAGGUAGUUUGGUUGUCAUAAAUUCUCUCAAUUUUUGAAAUUGUUUAAAAGGCGCAAUAACUUCUAAAACAUCCAGCAGUCUACAAAGAAAUCCAGAUAUUUCAAUAUUCAAGAGAGAUAUUUGAGAGAGGCAGAGAUUGACGAACAUGAAUCAACAACACAUUACCAUAGCCACAGUUGCUUUGAAGGACUUUGUGUUUCCCUUAGCAACCC